UUAUAAGAGAAAUGAUUCUGUAAGGUGACAGAUAAGAGUCAGUGAAAGACAGGGCAAGGUUAAAGGCAUCUCUCAGCCUUGACUGUUACCUAUUUCAAAUCCGUGGCUAUAAAGUGAUCCUACUUGAGAGGGCAUAUAGUGUAUCAAAUUUUGGAUUCAUUAGUUUGUGGCUGGGGCUGGAGUUCCCUUCAGGAGUGUGAGAUGUGAAGCUAGUGUUUAGGGGACUAAAGAGUAGAAGCUGGACCAGAACCCAGAGAUGUAGAUGAGUUUGCUAAAGGGAUAAAUGCAAAUGAAGAUGGGAACAGAACAGAACCCUGGAGCAACAACCCAGUUUCGGUGAUUGUUAGAGAUGGAAGUCAAGGUAGACAAGCUACGAAGGUGGGAGGUGAUGUGUGGGAAUAGCAUACAAUAACAUGCCUAGUUAACUGCGAAGUUAAAGGACACAUGCUGGCCGGAAGAAGCAAAACUCAGGGUGAAUAAUAGCAUUAGCAACAGCAGUGAGGAUGCUAGGAAAGUUUUAAUGGCAUAUGAGCAUUAGUUAGUAUUUAAAAGUGUGAAGGGAAAGGCAGAAAAGAAACUGUGAAGACUUUGAAACACAGGAGUAAGUGUUAGGCGUUCUCUGAAGUACGUUAUCCAUGCUGAAUCAAAUGGAAUUAGUAGAGGGACAGAGAGUUCCUAUGUGAGAAUUUUCAGAGGUAUGAUAGCAUUCAUUGUAAGCAAGCACUGGGUGUCUGAGGACAAAGAGGAUGACUGUUGACGGCUAAAUAGAGCAAAGAUCAUCCUAGCAAGCUGUAGAAGAGUUAAGAUCCAGCGUUAAUCUGCUCUUUAAAAAUACCUGGGUAGUUUAUCAACAGUGCGGCCUGGGUGGCCUUUCUGUGAGUGUGAGUGAAAUUUCUAUCUUUGAAGUCCCUAAAUCAAAGUGACUUUGAUAUAAGGGUCUUUAGAAUAAUUGAAAAACCAGUGGCCCUGUUCAUUUUUCUUUUCUCUUGAGUUGUUACUUGGAAUUUGCAUACUUCUCCAGCACAAUAAAAUUUAAUCCAAAGUUCAAGGUAGCUACUUAUAUUUUAUUAAACCCCCAAGUUUAAGAUAAUAUUUCUUGGACUGGUGAUUUAUUUAUGGUUGAAGACUACAGGAUAAGAAUCAGCUACAUAAACCGUUUCUUUCUUUCUUUCUUUCUUUCUUUCUUUCUUUCUUUCUUUCUCUCUUUCUUUCUUUCUUUCUUUCUUCCUGUCUGUCUGUCUGUCUGUCUGUCUUCUUUCUUUCUUUCUAUUAGAAAAAACGUCAUUUUUUUGUUUGUGUGUGCGUGUGGGUUUUUUGUUUGUUUGUUUGUUUGUUUUGAUUUUGGAUUUUUGUUUCUGAUGUUCGGAAAGAAUAAGAAUGCAGAUGUUGAGGUCUGAUUUAAGAAGCCUUGCCUUGCUCAUGCUCUGGAUGGGGGUGGGUGGGAUGGAAGACUGGAGUUAGAGAUAAUGAGAGGGUGCUUGGAAAUCAGCUCAGCCAGCAGGAGAGCAGUGCAAAAAUCGAAGUGUGUGGGUACCUACAUGACAAUGAAGAGCUGACAAAUGAGAAGGAGUUAGGACCCAGGGAGAGCCUAAGAGAGCCUGUGGAGUUGGAGCAGUAGUAUUUUGGGCAGAAGAACCAGGAAGAUGCCUCUACAUGGUGAAAGAGCCUACAAGGGAGUGCAACAAAGUUUCCUUGACUGCCAAUGAAACCUGCUUUCUUCCAGCCCAGGCAUACUUCCUCUUUAAGACAGCAUGCUAUGCUUUCUCUAAAAAGCUUUCUCAUUUCCUCAUUUUGCUCCUCAGUUUGGAAAUUGUCUUUGUAGAAAAGAACGAUUGUGCUGUAUCUGUCCAGAUUUAGAGGGACACCCUCUGAGCUCCUGGGAAGUUGUUUAGGCUGAGGAUAGAGGGGACUCUGGGGCAGGCUCCCUGCUUCCCUGGUUUAGGGAUGUUCUCAAGUGAAGCACAGUUCCAUGGUUCAUGAGCAGUGGAUGUCCUAAGGGUUAUGAAUCAGAAGGGGAACUUGUCUAUCAUGAAUGGAAAUUUGUAGUAAAUUUUCUUAUAUUGGACUAAGCAAUCCAGUCUCUUGACUCUGUGGUCAGUCUUCCAUCAUAAAGAACUCUGCCUACCUCUAAUAUUUUCCAUGGUUUUGUUAAAAAAAUUAUCCUUUUUUCCAUUUAAAAGGACAAUGAUAUUUUUCACUUUCCAUCUGGUUACUAUGUUCCACACUUUUGUUCUUGUGCAAAGAUUAAAAAUAAAGAUCGUUGACUCACCGCUUUGGUACAGCUUAACCAAUUCAGUUCAGUAAGUCAUUGUUGGCCCCAAGCACAGAGGCAGCUUCCUCUAAAUGGCAUUUCACUGACUCAUUUGCCAAUUUAAAAAAAAAUUAAUAAUUUCCAAACAAAGAAAUUUAAAACUGGGAAAUUUGAAAUAAAAAAUUUUAGUUUAUAUGGUAUUCAAAAUUAUAAAUAACAUGUCUAAUGUCAGUGAUAGAAAAAUCUGAAAGGUAAAACCUAAAACUUUUCAAAAUUAGAAAAGGGUGUAGUGGAAAGAUGGCUCAUAUCAGUGAAGAGCAGAAUGGAGUUUGGUUCUUAGUUGAGAGGCUCACAACUGCCUAUGAUUUCAACUGCCCAUAACUCUGGUCUGAAAAGCCACCCAUACACACACACACACACACACACACACACACACACACACACACACACACACACACCAGGCAAACAAACAGAAAGAUAAACCUCACAAAAAUUAAUCUCUAAGAAAAGUUGUUUAUGUGUUGAGUCAUCCAUAAAAUUGCUGGGGAGCGUCCAUCUGCUUGAAAAAAUCCUGAGAACUUUGUGUCUUUUUCUUUUUUAACAGGGGUUGAAAUCAUAGCUGUAUUAUUCAUCUUUUCAAUUAUUCUCACGAAGCCAGUGUUGGGUAUCUAGUUGCAUAGGGCAAGCCACCGUUCAGUUCAUGGCAUCCAAGUUGCAAAGUUAGUUGAGGUGAACAGGAAGAAACUGCUUGUUUGAAGUGGGAAUAUGUUGGGCCCUACCUUGGUGUUUCCCUCCCCCCUCGCUGAGCCUCUUAGCCUGCUAUAGCAAGAAAUUGUUUACACCCUUGGGAGCUGCUCUGGGAGCUGCUCUUAGCCCUUGACUUGGGGCUGGGAUUUUCCAUGGCACCCUUCCUCCCCACUGAGCCUUGCUGCUUGUUGUUGUUAAGGAGUUGUUUAUGCCCCUGAUUGGGCCGGAACUUUCACCACAUAGACUUUUCUUGUUUUCCUGGUUGGGGAUUUUCACCUGCCUUGUUGUUUUCCAAGGCUUUUGCCUUGGGUAUAUAAGGAGAUCUCAGUAAAGCCUUGUGGGCACUCGCUGAAAACUGGUGAUCCGUGUACUUGAUUUAUUUCAAUCCCGCAGACCUACGCCCGAUAUUCACACACUGCCGGUGUAGGUGCCGACAGGAAUAAGAAAUUAUUAGUAAGUUAAAUUCAUGAUAUUCAUUACAUCGUAAAAUAUGUCCAAAGCAAAGAAAGAUUACAACUUAGAGCUUUGAAAUGAGGAAGGCUGAGUUUUGGUGAGUAACAUAGAAACAAAGCCCAAUCAGUAGGACCUAGAAGAGGGCAGUGAGACUGAAGACCCUGAGAUAGCUCUAGGAGAGGCUAAGAAUGAGGAGUGGUCAGUUAGGACAGGGUGUGUCUACAGGUGCAGAAUGUGGCCAGAGGACAAUGGGAGGGGAAGGGAACUUCCCACCCAGCAUCAUCUGAAUAAAAUGAGGAUUUGCAGUGCUCCUGUAGUAGGACUCCUUUCUUUCUGGUAACCGAUUGUACCUGUAUAUUUGUUCAAACACUACAGUGAAGCAUCAGAGUUAUGGGAUUUUGACAUGAUUUAUAUCCUUAGAAUCUUAGACUUCAUAGAAAUAAGCUUGCUUUUUAACUUAAAAAUUUUUUUAAUAGUUAAACUCUAAUCCUCAGUUAAGCUGAACUUUUCUUUGGCUGAUAUACCCAACUGCUAGACAAGACCCCUAACUGUAAAUAGUGUUCACACCAGCUUAGCAUAGAGUGCUGAGCAUGCGUAAUAUUUAGAAGUCAUUGAUCAACAUCAUGAUAUUAUUUAGGAAUCAGACAACAGUGGACUAAUAUUAUUUUUCAUAUGUUUAUCAUAUCUUCCUAAGCACUAAGUCCCUUUGAAGGUUGAAACACUUAGCUUGUUAUUAUAAUCACUAGAUACUUCAGUGUGGUGCUUUAUCACUGUGGGGAUCCUCCAGUCACUUCUUGUCCAUGACAUGAAAACAGUGCUGAAUGGAGGAGCAGAACACCAAAGACAGCCAAAUGCAUUGUCUAUGUAAGUUACAAACAAAACAAAACAAAGUAAAACUCUUCGAUUCUUCACAAUACACGCUAAUUGGAUGGAGAAUAGAUUUUUUUUUCUGAAAUAUUAGCUAAUGGCUGUUUAGUCAUUGUGCAGGCAUGACUUCUGUCUCAUAGAGCACCGAAACGCCUCCGUUGAAAGCAGAUGGUGGUAAUAAUUUGUAACUUGAAAUUUAACCACAUCAUUUAAUUAGCAAGUAUUUCAGAAUUUUUUUUCUCCAUCAGUCUCUUUUGGCCAUUUGGACCAAAAGAUUCAUGGAGAAAGCCAGAAAAAUCUUUGGUUGCAAAGGGCAAAGAAAUGGGACAUUGUCUCCUCCAGCCUCUACAUCAUGUUACUAUUUGAAAGAAAAUAGCCCUGAAAUUUGGUUAGAGAAAACAUACACAUGCGUAUGCGUACACACACACAUACACACAAACACAGAGAGAGAGAAUGAGAGAGAGAGAGAGAGAGAGAGAGAGAGGCAUUCACACACACACACACACACACACACACACACACACACACACACACACGGGUUGCAGGGGAGGAAUUACGUCUUCUUUUGGCUUACAAGGUGAUGGUGAAGAAUUUCUAGGCCAAGAGGCAAUGCACACACUAGCUGUCACAUUGUUAAGGUCCUUUGUAUUGUCAAGCAUUUCUUGGAAUUGACUGUGCAUAGAACUCUGGGCACUUUGGGAGGUGGUAGGGAGAGAUGACUCAGAGGGUCAAGGCUAUAGCUAUGCAAACUUGACAACCUGAGUUCAACACCUCAGAGUCCAUGUACAAAUCUAGAUGUGGUAGCAUGCAUUUGUAGUACAAGUACUCCUGCGGUGAGGUAGUGAGGCAAAAGGAAGCUCCUGGAAGCUCACUGGUUUGUUACAGAGACACUGUCUCAGCAAGGUGGAAGGCAAGACUGACUGCUGAAAGUCCCCUGUGACUUCCAGUGUUGGGAACAAGCAAAAGGAACUUAUACUAAGUACUACCAUUUCAUUUUCAGACUCCAUUUAAUCACAAGGAGGAUGAUUAAUGCAAGAUUCCAGGUCCAAGGGAAGCUAGGAACUUCCCAACAGCUUCUGUUGUUGUAAACAGUUGUCUGAGUCUAGCUAUCUCAAGGAUAACGUCUCCACACUGCUAGCAGGGUUAAACAAAUUCAUGUUCUUAGGCCUAGGAACAAAUUCUUAUCUUAUUUCUCCAAGUGCUUUGUUUUUAGAUCUUAUUUUAUGUGAGUACAAUGUCACUGUCCUCAUACACAUCAGAAGGGGGCAUUUGAUACCAUGAUAGAUGAUUGCAACAUGGGGAUUCUGGGAAUUGAACUCACUGACCUAUGGAAGAGCAAUCAGUGUCUGAGCCAGAUCUCCAACGGGCACUCACUUGUUUAACCAUAAAGUCAAAAUACAAUUAGAUAGCACUGAAGCUCACUCCACUGCAUCCCUUGCCUUGUGUUCCCAUCCUUUAAAAAUGUUGUACAAUCUCCCUUCAGGAAUGAACUGGCUGCCUCCCUGAAUACUCAGAAAAUAGAGCUUUAAUUUUUAAGCUUCUGUAUCUCAAGUGAGUUUUCUCAGCUUCUAAUCUGAACCAAACACCAAGUGUGCUCUGUGGCCUGAAGCUCUCUUUUUCUUCUCCCACUUUUUCUUCCAUACUCCAAUACCCACUAAGCAUAGGAACUUGGAGAAACCCAAAGGUAAAAUGAGAAAUGUAUAAUCCUAAUGCUUAAGGUUUUGAAAAUUUAAAUGGAAAAAAUUGUUCCCUAAAUAAGUAAUCAUGUUACAUAUCUGGAUAAAAAUUUAAUAUCAUUAAAGUGAGGAAAUGAAGCAGAUUAACCCCACUGGAGGAAUCGGGGAGAACCUCAUGGAGAUGUAGGAUGUGAGCAUGGCUGGUUGGAUAGGGGAGAAUAAGGGUGUAGAGACAAAGUUUAGAGAGGGGAUCCGAUGAAGGAAGUUGCAGCAUAGCAAAAGGGAACGUGUGUUGUGGGUAGUGGACUGGUUUGGAUGGCUUCAGGAGAGGGUUUCUAGUUACUGUGCUUGGGGACCAAUGGGUGGAGUGUUUGUGAUGUCAGGACAAAGGGGACCACUAAACUCCCCUUCAUUCUGUCUUCAUGAUGCUCUGUGGACUUGACAGUGUGCCCCACCUGAUUGGUGGCCACAGCACUCAUGUCUACAGUGUGACUAGAGGAGCAUUACUUUUGGGAAGGAUUGUAUUUCAUUCUAUACUUAGAACUAUGGGACUUCUUACCACACUUGCUCCUUCCUGCAACCUUUGUGCUUGUGGUACUUAGACAAGCAUCCCUUUUAUAGAUGCUGAAUGGAAAGGAGGGGGCCAGAUAUGCACAGCUUAAAAGCCAGGUGAGGAGGGUGUGGAUUUGUUUUUGGACACAAGGAAAAAACUCUGAAAUUGGAAAAAAAGGAAAUAUACGAUCGAAACUUUUCUGAAGAUAGCACAAAUUGCAAAAUGGAGGGGAAACAAAUUACAGAGAAGAAAAGCUCAAGACAAGGAGACCUGUCAACUGUUGUCACAACCAUCUAGGAGAGUGGGCAGAAUCUGGGCUGAGGUACGGAGGCCGUGGGAGUUUGAGAGAAAUAAACUCAAUUAUAUUUGGCAACAUCCAGAUGCAGCGGAUGCAAACAAUGAAGAGAAGGGCCUGGGGUCAGAGUCGCCUUUCAAACUCAGAUUUCUUAAGAACCUUUCAGCCAAUUGGACAUUUUUAUGUGAUUGAGUAGGUUUCUUCUCCUGUUGGGCUCUGAUAUAAAUUGUGAGUCUUGAUAUCAUUCUCAAAUCAUUACUGCUGUUGAACAUCUCUGACGAAGCCUUGAAUGUGGGAGGCAUGUGUAUGAGUAAAGAUGGACUGCACUGGGGAGGAUUAGGGUUAGCAAACACAGCAGCUCCUGUCAGUUUGCUGGAGAAUGAAGAGAAGUGUCAGCUGCACCACAGAUUUGGGGCCACCUUCCACACGAGUUCAGUAGCAACUCAACUCAAUUGUCCCUUUCAAGAACUUCGAGUUGAGGCCCUUGAUGUUGAGCAGGACUGGUGCUGUCUGUGUUGAGGGCUUCCUGAUUUCCUCUUGACAUGAAAAGUCCUGUAGGAAAUCAAUACAGCGUACUUGACUAUAAAUUGUUCUCUUUGUGAGGAAUACAUUGGCUGCUGUCAUCCACAUCUUACGAACUGCAAACCCACUCAUAGCACAUGCGUAUUGUAGCCUGUCAAAUCAGGAAUGGCUUCCUAAAGAAUGCCUCUAAGGCCACCUGUGACUUCACCCAGGACUUUGCAGUUGUUCACAAAAUGAUAUAAUGCCAAGAAAGCACCGUUUGACAGCCUGUGAAGGUUAUGCAGGAUUUUACAGCACCCACAGGUAUGCUUCUUGCGAAAACUAUUGACAGGAAUUGCCACACGUAGCCACACCUGUUAACAGUCAGAGCGUCAAAACAAUUCCGAUUUCUGUGGACAGUUGGAGUCCAGUGAUGUCAGAGCAGAGAUGAAUACAAUUCUCCGUUCUUGACGUGCUUCAAAGGGAAGGGAGGAAGUUGAAUGAGCGUACGUUUGAGAAGCAUCAUUGUGGACAUAAAAUGUGUUCUAGGAAGUAGCAGGCAUCUCAUAAAGCAAGCAGAGAGAAGUAUGUAUGUGGGAUAGAAGGAGGAGCCCUUGGGAUUGGAAGUAUUAAGUCUGGAAGAAGACUGAGCCUUUCCCUCUCUCUGGCAUAUUGAAUAGACUGUGGAGGAGGAACUGGAAUAAGAAUCGUCAGAAUAAAUAUUCAUUAGCUAAAAUAUGUUUUAUUAUCAGCAAAGCAACAAGAAUUAAUUCAUUCAAAUGGCCUCUAUUGAACAUUUACUUUGUAAAACACAACAAUAAUACAAAAAGAGGGAAUAAAUUAUUUUCUGAGAGUCACUGUAAUGACUAAAUCAUUACUUAACUAGUGGCAGAGUUUCCCUUUGGUAAAACUGAAAUGGAAUGGCUUUCAAAGUCCUUGAUUUCUUUCUUUUUUUCCCCCCUUCUCCUCCAUUCUCCUCUUCUAGUUUUUCUUUUGUACCAAGUCUGCUUGCUCUUUCACCCACCCCAUCUUUUGAAUGCAGGAGAGAAGGUGAUUCCUCCAUGUGCCCCAUGUCCUCAGUACCAGCUGCAUAUUUGAGCCCUGGGCCCGGCUAGGCUCUCCCGGGGAGGCUCCUGCUGGGGUCUUGACUUUCAUGGCUUGAAUUCAGGCAUGGAUGAGAGGCAAAAAGUCUUCAGACUGUACCCCUCACAUAUACUCUAAUCUAAUUCAGAAAAAUUAUAUUUCAAUUUGCAAAUUUCUUGUGUUCUGUAUACCCCUCUUUCCCCACUAAGUCUACUUGGUGCUGCAAUGCAUGUAUGGAAGCAUGAGUAGCCUCCCAGAGAACACAUAGCAGAAGAAGCAAACCGACUCUGCCUCUCCCAGCUGCUGACACCUGCCAAUAGCACCUCACCUAGGGGUGGAACUUCCUGCUCCCUUCCCCACCCAUGCUAAGAUUUUGUCUGGCUUGAUCUUGUGCGGGUCUUGUACACACUGUCACUGCUGGUGCGAAUAUACACUGCUGGUGUGAAUAUAUACUAUUGGUGUAUAUUCUCUUGUACUAAGUCUGAAGAUCACUGUGUUUCUUGGAUAGCAUUUCUCUAUUCCUGCUGGUUGCAUUUCAAAGGCGCAGCAGGCCUCUGAGCUUAGUUACCGUUGUACUUGGUAGUGUAGACGGCUGGAAAGUAAGCAUAGGAAAGUAAUCCUGUGCUGGAUGGAACUGAAUGAGUUCCAUUACAAUACACUGAUAGUUCUAGGACUUGGGUGGCAAAGGUAGGCGGGCUGAGAGUCACGAUUAGCUUGAGCUGCAGAGUAAGAGUACGAUCCUGUUUCAAGACUAAAAGAAAAGGAAAACAAAUUGCUGCUCUGCAGAGGCAAAACCGGUUUAGAAGAAGAGAUGUGAAAGCCGUAAUUUGCAUUUUGAUAAAUAACCUUCUUUACCCACCUCACACAUUGUAUGAAAUCUGGCGUUUUACUGAAGUUCUAAUUAGCUACUGAUUUUUGCAGUGUGGAAUCGCUUUUCGGCAAAUGUGUCAUGAUAUGGUACUUAUCACACUCUUAAAUUACAUUUGAAGUAGAAUAAUCAAGCCUAUUUUUCACAAGAACACUGAUUUCCUCCAGCUGUUUAUUAGUUGUAUUAGCUCCCUCUAAUCUGCAAAAAUCAGUAAUUUCAGACUCGAGGUCUGAUUCUUCCCAUACCCAUGGCAACUUGGGCCUCUUGCUCCCAUUCCAUAGCUCUGUCUUUGUUUUCUCCACUUUCACUCUUUAUUACCACUUACUUGUUCCUCCUUUUCUGAUCAUCAUCAGCCCCACUCUACUCCAGACCAAAGCAUGUCCUGUUCUGAAUAGCUACAGAACUACCCCUCUGAAUGUAGAGACUCUGCUUUGAUGAGAAUAGCACUUAGCAGGUAUCAGAACUACCUGGAGGUUUUGUUAACUUCAGAGUUUCUUCUGAUAGAGUCUGGGGGUUCAAACUUUUACUAAAUCCUCGGAAGCAGUAGGAGUGGCUGUUGGGAACCCCACUCUGAAAACUAGGAGGGCUUAGGAUUCAUCUGGCUUUAUGAGAAGCCUUUCUGAUAAGGUACAACAAACUGCUUUCUCCUCUUCUGCUCAGUUUCGUGCCUUUCUACUUUGAAAGUUGUCUUGUUUGGGAGAGCUGGGUGCUCCUGUUGUCACCUUGAAACAAUGCAAGGGCAUCAAGGAAAUCUCUGCAGUGAUAUUUUGGCUAACUCACUCCAUGGUAUGUGAAAUGAGUGUAGACCUCAGGUCUGGUUUUCUGUUUACUACCAAAGCGCUCAACACACAUUCUGUGACUAAUUCCUCUCAAAGCACCUCAUUAUCUUCCACACGACUGGGAUGUAACUUAGUAUCACAGAACUAUAUCCCCCAAAUCGUGAUGCUUUCUCUUCAUCUUGGGAUACAAGAUAGGUAACUCAGGUAUAAGGGGUAAGGAAAAGGUGUGUACUCUGAGCAUCUCUGUUUGUAGGUUGGAUCUUAACAGGCUGAAAUAACUCUGUGAUGUGUUCAAGCUGCUGUAAUGGUUUGGAGACUAAGUGGGGAAGAUCUUUACAUCUGGGGAAGAGUUUGCAGAUGUCUUAAAUGGAGAAGUCUGGAGAAUGUGUGGGACGCCCAAGGUUCUCUGGUGUAAGAGGAAUGUUAUAUUUAUUCUAGAACAUUUUAGAUAAAGAACUACAAUGGGAGGAUGUCUUAGUCAGGGUUUCUAUUUCUGCACAAACAUCAUGACCAAGAAGCAAGUUGGGGAGGAAAGGGUUUAUUCAGCUUACACUUCCACAUUGCUGUUCAACACCAAAGGAAGUCAGGACUGGAACUCAAGCAGGUCAGGAAGCAGGAGCUGAUGCAGAGGGCCUGGAGGGAUGUUACUUACUGGCUUGCUUCCCCUGGCUCACUCAGUUUGCUUUCUUAUAGAACCCAAGAACCACCAGCCCAGGGAUGGCCCCACCCACAAUGGGCUGGGCCCUCCCACCUUGACCAUUAGUUGAGAAAAUGCCUUACAGCUGGGUCUCAUGAAGGCAUUUCCACAACUGUGUCUCCUUUUCUGUGAUAACUCCAGUGGGUGACAAGUUGACACACAAAACCAGCCAGUACAGAGGAGUCUAUAAAAUUCUCCACAAGGAGACAUGCUUUCUAGCAGUCAGAAAAUAUGAAUAAAGAAACACUAUAAAGUUGUGAACUCUGUGCUCAACUGUACAGGUUGAGAGAGAGAUAGCACUUGCCACAUAGUUGGUACCUCAGUAACUUGACUGUAUUUGGGUCCCCUUGGAGAAAAAUUUCUUAAGUGUGUCUGUAAGGGAAUGCCUUUUCAGAGAUGCUUAACUGAAGAGGGAAGACACACCCUAAAUGUGGGGAGCACCACCCCAUGGGUUGUUGCCCUGGAUUGAACACAAAGAGAGAAAAAGUAAAAGAGGGAACAGGGUAGCAAUAUUUAUCAGUCUACUUUCUGACCGUGGACAUGCUGCUGCUUAAUCUUCCUGGUUCCAACGGCUGCUUUUGCUGUCGUGUCUUCUCUGGUUAGCUGCACCCUCAAAUUAUGAGCCAAAAUAAGCCCUUUCUUUCUUAAGCUGACUUUUUCAGGUCCAGCUAGAGAAAAGUAAUGGGUAAAGUUGGUGCCCACUAAACAUUCUCUGAACAACUAGGCACAUGUGUACUCACUGUAAACACUUAACAAAUCUCUAAGCAAUGGAUGACGACCUCCUCUUCUAAGCACAAUCCAAAUGGGGUCUUGUUAUACUGAAGGAAAGAGGAACUUCCACUGGCAAGCCAUGUUUUGUUGUUUUUUUUUUUUUUUUUUCCUUAAAUGUCUAAAAAAGAUUAAAGCUGACGAAGAUUUCAAGGCCGGCCACAGGGAAAGGUAGACACUUGUGAGAGCGCAGAUCGGAAGCUAAUUCUGGUCCUCGGAAUGCCCCGAAGACGGUGGAACUCUAGGUUCAGAUUACUUUGCUGCAAGACCCGAUAACCGUGAAAAAACUACAUCAAAAGAAAAUACAAAAGAAGGCAGAAGGCAGAUUAGACAGGCAACUGGGAGCUGUGUUAUCACAGGUUCCCGAGAAAUCAGCAAGACCAGAAAUAAGGCAGGCUGCAGGCAAUUCCAGAUUGUUAUUAAAGUUAAAAAUAUGACCCACAGUACCGCUGCUGUAUUGCUUUAGGCUGUGAAAGUGUCACGCUGUCAGUUGUGACACAGAGCAUGGGAAAGGACAGUCAGAAUUCUAUGCUAUUUCUGCAUUUUGUAAGAAAAAAAACUAUACAACUUUACAUAGUUAAAAUAGGUAAACAUAGAUGGCUUUUCAGAGGACGAGAAAGCAAGAGGCGGUGGAUGUGCUUGAAAACACCAUUCAAAUGGCUUCCUCCUUGGGGGUGGGGGUGGUGUUGAGUGAUAAUGUAACCAGCACCAAGAAUGGUUAUGUCUAACUCAUUCCUUCCAUCUCAGAGUCAAGAGCCACAGACACUGGAAAACAUAGGUAUUGUAGUUGGCGAAUUAAAUGAAAUGAGUGAGGGAUCACGGUUAAAUAAAUAACGCUUCAGGUAGGUGUUUAGCGAAAGGUGCUGAAAAAAACUCACAACAAUAGCAGCCCUAGAUGAGAGAAGAUUGACUUCUGAGUAAGAGCACCAGGACCAAGUGAAUGUCAAGGGCUGCACGGCUCCAUUCUUUGUGUAACAAUUGAAUCUUUUACUUCUCAGUGUGGUGGAGUGUAAUUUAACUUAAGAGGGGUAAACGUGCUAAAUAGAAAUAAUUUGGUAAAGAGGAAAGGAUUUUUUUUAAUGUCAAGGACAAAGCAAUGUGUAAUUUGAUUUUUUUAAUCUGCAGACAGUAGGUAGUAUAAGUCAUCAAACAGUGCAAAGAAUAGGCUGCUAAUUGAAACAGAGCGUGGAAACAUUAGUGAAUUGAUUGGAAGUGACAAAGUGGCUGGAUUUGUCAGCAUUUUAGCAGAUGGAAUUGCUCUGAUUGAUGAAAUGACAGGGCUCUGAAACAAAACUGGAAAUUAAAUGUACAGCCAGAUAGUCCUGGCACCGAGAAUAUACAAUUGCAUAAAAUCCGAGAAGCGGGCCAGGAAGGGAUCUUGAGAAUGCUCCCGAAUGAUGUUGGCGGGUACGAUUGUUUGUCGCUUGGCUUGGACCUGCCACUUCUGAUGACUUCUAGAAGUCUGAGAGUUGGCGUAGAAAGCAUUGGAUAUCAUUGCUGGGCAUUCGAUGGCAAAAGCACAGAUAACAGGAUUGCUUAGAAUGAUGGUCUCUGGGCCAUCGUUUGUAACUACUGCUCCGUGGGCUUUGUCAUCGUAAACAAAUGCAGUCCUUUCCGAUCCGUGUUCCUUGAGGCACGAGAGACCCCAUGAGAUGCACGCAGACACUAUGAAUAAGUUCUUUGGUCAAAUCAGUCUGGAGAAUAUGUAUGUUACAGUUCACCGACGGGAAGUUCCAACUCACAUUACCAUAGCAAAGUUCUAUAAUAAAGUGAGAAUUUUCUAAGCUUUUAUGUUUAUUGAAAUGAAAUUUUAAAAAACAUCUAUAAUAUCGCAGGGGGACUAUUGCUCUUUGGAGAUAGGUUUGGAAAACAUUACUGAGGCCUAUCAAAAACACUCCUGUACCUGAGCUCUUGCAAGCACCUAUUGUUUUCUGGGAGAAUGGCUAUCCUGAAAGAAAUUGGCCUCACUGUGAAAUGUUUUAUUUAUGGAUUGCAUGUAUGUGGGAGCAUGUUUACCCUUUCUGAUGAUAGUCCUCUGGGCUACAGAGUCAAUUCCUCCUGAUGGACAUAGGCUAUCCUUUGUUUUGUAUAGAGGAUAGUUUUCUCAUGGCAGGUGGGAUUCUGGGUAAGGAAAUUAGUUACUGGUGAUAUAAAGUUGAAUAGGACACAAGAGCAGCUCUCCUUUAUAUAUCAAUUCUGUUCAGAAUACAUGAUGGUUAGAAUGAGUAUUUUUUCAUCGUGUGUGUGUGUGUGUGUGUGUGUGUGUGUGUGUGUGUGUGCUCCUGGGAAUUAAACUGAGGACCUCAGACAUCCUAGAUACCUGCUUGCUCUACCACAAUGCACCAGCUUAGCCCUUACUUGCUAUGAGACAUUUCACAAAAUUGCUCAUGUUGGCGGUGAAUUCCUCUACCAAACAUCCAGGGUCUCUUUUCUUGAUCCUCCCGUCUUGGACUCACAGGUAGCUGGGAUUAUAAACUGGUACCAAUAGACCUGAAUAAGUUUUAAACUUAAAGCAGUUGUCAGAAACAGUCUUGUGAAUAUUUCCCUAAAUUCAUAGAAUAAACUGAAUUGUGAAUGUCUUUAAAAAGUAACAAUGUAUGUGCCACGCGGCAUCUAGGGGCAUAAGCAGAAGCAAUGUAAUUAAACAAUGACGGUUUCCAGUUUAAAACUAAAAAGUCACUGAAAACUAGAACGAUCCUCCAAGGAGCGGUUCAGAAUUUAAAUGGAUAUUUUAUGACUGAGUUAAAGCACGGCAUUUUAUAUCCUCUCUGACCCAUUUACAGAAGUCAAUCUUGAGAAAUCAGCGCUUCCGGGGCACGCGGCUGAGGGGACCGCUUUUCUAAGCAGUUUCUUGGGCAUUUUGGCUGUGACUGUGUACUGUGGAUCUCAUCCCACGGAAGACUGCCAUGUGACUCCUGGGAGAUUUCUCUGCACUACCUGCUUCAGCCUGAUUGCCACAUGUCUUCCAUUUUGUUGAGGGAAUCUUUUUGCAAUAAGCGUUCCGAUGCUAAUGCAAGCGGAAGAGAGGAGAUGUUGCCCAUGGAUCAAAGCCAGGACAUCUCCUGAAGGACGUCAAUGCUGGGUUGAGUUUGUACUCUCAUUCUGUACUCUAAAACCACCAGACAGGGAGAGUAAGCUAGCCAGAGUUCAUGGAAGCCUCAGUGCAGUCACCAGGUUGUUGAGGACAAUGACACAUUGUUUCAGCUAUUUUCUCCAAGUUAUUCUGUUCCAGGUGGCAAGUGAAAACACAGGUGGGUAUAAGCAAACUGCUAAAUAAAUCAAUAUCUAGAAGCUGGCUCUUUUGACCUUGCAUACUCCCCCUCCCCCGCUCUGCAAACUCUCUGGCUCAGUUUGACAUUUUAUCUACCAGUGUACAUUAUGUUUUUGAAAUGAUAGUUUCUAUUGUCCUGAUUUCCUCCAAGGCUUUAACCUUGACAACAGAAUUGAGAUUGAGAUUAGUCAGUCAGAAGUCCACUCUCAAGAAAGUACCUCUUCUGAAUGGGAAUCACUUAAUGAAAUAUCUUCUUUAGUUUAAUUUUCCAACAAAGACAGAGAUUUUCCUACAAUUCCACUGAUUAGGGUGGAUCCACCCCUUGAAAUGGGACUCGAUAUUGCUUACAGAGCCCCAGCAGCCCUAGCUACUGGACGUGUGGUUUACUGAUGAAGUUUUCCUGAGAGAACAAGGGAGAGCGGCACACGAUGGGCCUGUUCAGACCACUUCUUGGAUAGUCACUUAUCGUGAUAUGAACGCUGAUGUUUCAAAUACCGGUACUGAUGGCUUUCUGAUGCAUGUGCUCAUUUAAACUGUCUUUGGAGCUAGAAAGGGGCAAGUAUGGGUUGAUUAAGAUCAAUAAGAGAGCAUGAAGGAAAGGGAGAAAGGAGAGGAGAAAGGGAUCUCGCCAUUAAAACACUUAUUUGUAUGCAUUUUCAGUGGUUAAAUUUAUGAAGCGGGGCUGAGACUAAUAUUAAAAUCAACGAUCAAAAAGCACUGCUUGGCUUCAGCAAACACACACAGACACUGGCUAGUAUGGCAAAAUAAAAAUGAGUCUAAGUUAGAAUAUAUCUGGUGGGCUAGCCACAACCAGCCUAUUCCCCUGGUUAGCCUAGCAUUGUUUACAGAAUCCACAGAUGCCGAGGUAACUCUUGGGACCCAGUAACUGAAGCGUACCACCAGCGACUGUACUGGUGAAUCAUGAUUGUCAGUUUCAUUGGGUUGAAAAGUGCCUAGGGAUUAGGAAAGCACACCCCUGGGUGAGCCUAUGAAAGCAUUUCCAGAUAGUACUGAGCUUAACUAAGGGGUAGCCAAACUCUGAGUAUAGAUGAUGCCAUCUGGCCCGGUAGAAGAGACUGGCAGUGGGAGCAAUUCCAAGAGCUCAGUGUUCUCUUUGUCUGCUUUCAGGUUACAUAGAAUGAACCCUCCCUGAAAGCUUUGAAACCAUAACAAAGUAAACAAUUUAUCCAUUUACAUUGUUUUCUCAGUAGUUUUUUUGUCCUAGCAAUGAAAAACCAGACAGUUGCCAGAGAUAGUGGGAUGUUCAUUUUGAUGACCCCUAGGGACAAUUGAUACUUAGGAGAUACUCAGCUUUGGGAAAGAGCACAGGAAAUUAUCAAGAUCACAACAGAACAGGUGUCUCCACACACAGAGUUUUCUAAAACCCAACACGGAGAGAAACGGGUUGCAGGGCACAUCAGGACAGAGGCAGUAUCUGGUGUCCUGAGACUGCCCAGGCAAAGACGCUUCUUGUGGAGAGUGACAAGCUGUCAGUAAAAAGUGAAGCACUCUUCCUUAUUGCUUUCUAAGAGUUUGGCCUUUUAGAGAGAUUCUCUAUCGAGCUGAGAUUUGUCUGACAUAUCUUAUUCUCUCCACAACUUAUACAGGAUGAAAUGCUGCCUUAACUGGGUCAGCUGGACCUUCCGUGCACCAACUCUUACCUGACAAGAACUUUUGUCUCAGGGAAUCACUGGGCCCUUGUAUCCUGAUUCUUCCUGUUACAGACUGAAGGCACACCCUCGUGGGUACCAUACCCACAUCCUGGGAAUAGGGUUGCUAGCAAUCAUGGCUGAGUGACAUGAGAGAGCUUGAGGCAUGGUCUGAAAACUCCUUGGAUCAGCUUAUCCAAUGAAGACUCACUAUUACUGGAAAACCCCAUCCUUUUUGCCUAAUGAUUCAGUCAAGGAUACAAAGGGUUCCCUUCCCAUAUCACCUCUCUUUGAUUAUUCAUAUGCCCAUGUAAGUUAUCUUGAAUUUUUGUUAGAAUUUAACUCUUUAAAAAUUGGAAUUAUUUUUGGGAUCAUGACAAGGGGCAAUAACAGUAUGUGUGGGUAGGAUUUCAUCACGGUGGAUCUCACUGUGGCGGGUUGAGAAGCAUUGAAACUGGCAAGAAGGGAGAAGAACAUUGAAGAAUUAUGAACAUUUGGACUCAACCCAGAAAGGCAGGGUAGACAACUAUGCAGGGAGUAUCUUAGGGUCUUAUUACUGUGAAGAGACACCAUGACCACUGCAACUCUGAUAAAAGAAAACACUUAACUGGAGUUGGCUUACAGUUCAGGGACUUAGUCCAUUAUCACCCUGGCAGGAAACAUGGCUGCCAUGCACCACAGGUAGACUGAGAUGAGUGUCUGUGUUACGGUAUUCGUGAUGGUCAUCCAAUACCCAAGAACAUCAGCUCGAGGGAGGACGUGUUUAUUUUGGCUCACAGACCCAGAGGUUUUAUUGCAACAUGGUGAGGAGAGUGUGGCAGAGCAGAGUGCUUACAUCACACCUGACUGGAAGCAGGGAAAGCAGGAGCUGGGCCAGGGUAUAGCUCUACCUUCUGCUGUUAGUUUAUCUCUUCACAGCCAAUUUUGGAAAAGAAGCUAAAGCCAAACUGCCUGGAAUUUGAAACUGUUUAUGGGCCAAUUUAGUGCUCAAGUUCCAAGAAGAAACACCAGGUCCCCAAGAAUUACAGAGAGCACUCCAGGUUCCUUCUCCUCAAUCUGUAGCUCAGAGAGCACAGAUCAUGGCUUGACUUUACGAUGUUUGCUAUGCAAAGGAACUUGAGUGACGCAGCUGAGCGACAGACCCAGAGUGGAUUCGAUUAAGGUCAGUGCGUGUCUUUAAUUCAAGCUAGGUGCUGCUACUGAGAGAGGCAGAGUUGCAGACACAAGCCAUUGCACUCAUGGCUUUCAAAGGUGAGACAGUCAAGAGACCAUGUCCUGUUGCUCUCAAUUUCCAUCACUUCAGCCCAUUCAGAGUGCAGGCCAGCAUGUGAACACUUCCUAAUGGAAAUGUCCAGAGAUGGACUGGCUAGCCUCUGCUCUUGCACCACUAAUUUUGAGCCUGACAUCUGGCUACCUGGACCUGUAUUCUACAACAUUUCAGAAGUCUAGUAACCAGAGAGGAACAAUCACUUAUAUUCAUGUUUGUGCAUUGCCUUUGCCCUCAAAACAGUAAAGCAUUUUCUGUCUGCCUUGUUCUCAGUUUAUAUUAAAUUUUACAUUACUUUCAUGGUUAUAUAUUACUUCAAGUAAUACCUUAUUAUUGGGUCUAACUUGGCAUCUUUCCUCAGGCAGCUUUUCGAUUGCUUUAUUUACAUUAUUUCCUAGGGGUAGAUUUCCAGAAGUGGGGAUAUUUUUACCACUCUUGUUACCAUGUAUGGGGCCAUUAAACUGGCAGUUCAGGAGACCGGGUGUUGCUUUGCACCUUGGCAAAUUGUUACAAAAUUAUUUUUUUAGGUGAAUGUAGUGUCUUACAUGCUUAGUUUACAUUUCAAUUACUAAUGGCAUUGACAUUUCCCCCAUAUUUUCUUAAUAAUAAGUAUUAUUAUAUUAAAGAAUAGUAUCAGUGAGAAAAAAAGAAUAUUUUUCUGGACUUCUCUUCCUUCCUUUUGCAUCCCAUUCAAGUUCCUGACUUAUGGGAAAGUACUGCCCAAAUUCAGGGUGUACCCUCCCCUUUAUUUCUCUCUGGAAACAUUUUUGAAGACAGAUUCAGAAGUCUACUCUACUUUUCAUUUUAAGUUGAUCAAAUUGAAAAGCAAGACUAAAUGGCAUAGAUCUGUAUGUAGGAUAGGAUGAUGGGUUUAGUUCUGCAUGUCUGAGUCAAGAGGAAUCUGCAAGGGGAAGUGCAAACAGCCUGAGUUUAGGGCUUAGAUUUGGCAAUCGUAUUAGUGGCCUACAGCUUCUAUAAAAAAUGACCGCAAACGUAAUGGCUUCAAAUGAGAACAUUAUCUUCUCUCACUAUUCAGACUUCAUGAAACAGAAGUGGGUCUCACUGGGGUCAAAUCAGGUUGUCAUUAGGGCUAUCCUUCAGCAACCCAGGGAAACAAUCUUGUAUUCUUCUCCUCAAGGUUCUACCUGCAUUUGUUGGCCUCUGGAUCCUUCUUCAAGAUUUAAAGCAGCAAGCAUUUUCAUAGAUUCCCCCAAUUGCUGCUUCCAACUCCUUUCAUUUAUAAGGAUCUCUGUAAUUACAUUGGUCCCACCCAGAGUUCUGCCCAUGUGCAUAAUCCAUUUGACCAUUUGAGAAAACCUGUUCUAGCUUGUGCUCCAGGAACGUGCGUGUCUUUGAAGUGACAUUAGCCUGUCUGUCACAAGAGACAUUUGCAUAGAGUCAAUAAUUGGAUUAUCAUUCUGUAUACCCAAGGGGAACACGGGUAAGGAAAGAGGAGCAGAGCUUCAAAGAUCAAAGCCUUUGAACUUGAUGUCCAUUGUCACCUUUUCCUGUGACCUCUUCUCCUUUUUGUUUUCAGUGUCAGUGUAACUUGUUCUACUGUGUCACCCUUUGGUGUUCUUAGGUGCCUUUAUUAACUAAGGCGUCAUUGUGUUGGCAUUUCUCAAGGUAAAAAAAAGAGACUUCUUCAUUUCCUUUGUUUUUGCCCUGGCAACCUUGCAAUGCACGAGGACUUCUUUAAAAGAAGAGAAAGCCUUGCACUUGUCUAGUCUCAGAAUGGUGAACAGUCAGUGGACUAUCCUCGAAAGCAUUUUAGUUGUGCUACUGUUAAGUAAGUAGCAUCCUUUCCCUCUAUUUCAAUAAUGAGGAAAUAAUUGUGUUUUCAAUAUUAGAACUGAACUGCCGUGUUAUUGACAAAGUCUUAAUUGAUUUGAAAUAUGAGAAAGCUCAUGCCCUGCUCUGAAAUAAUUGCCUCAGACCCUUGAGGACUCUACCUGAAUUGAACUAUGCAAAUGCAUUCUGAAUGCUGAGUUCCUUUUGGUCUCUGCUCAGUGUUUGACCCGAGCAGUGAUUUGCUGUAGGCUAGAACACCACUUAACCCACAGAAGUAGUGCUUGUGGGCUUCAGAGUCGACACCCUUUUAUUUGAUCUCUGGAUAUACUAUUUGUAGUUUCCUCUGAUGUGCUAGGCACUGUGUUAGACACCGGGGAUAAAAUACUGAAUAGACUAGAAUCCGUAUUAACGAAAAUAAUUAUAGUCAGGUGUCGGGGUGGGGAUCUGGAGAAUGAUUUGACUGUAAAGUGCUCUCCAAAUGCUUGCAAGUUUGAAUACUUGGUCUCCAGCUAGCAGUGCUGUUUCGAAGGCUGUUGAACCUUGAGGAGGUGCUCACUUGCUUACAGACCUUUCUCACUCAUUUGUGCUUUCUCACAGCCCAUGCAAGGUGACCAGCUGCCUUCUACUCUUGCUGGUCAUACCUUCAUUAUGAGGGCAGAAUAUGUCCUCUUGAACUUAAGCUGAAAUAAACCAUUCCUUAAAUCCUUCUUGUCUUGUAUGUCAGGUCAGUGCAGGAACAGAACAAUGACUAAUACAACAAGCAAUGAUUACACAAUGUAAAGUGCUGUGGUGGAGCGAGUGACUGGACUAUGGUAACAAACAUAAGAGGCACUCAGUGCCAGUCCAGUCAGAGGAAUCCAGAAAAGGCUUUCUAGUGACAAUGAUAUAUCAUUGAGUCCUGGGAGACCUACAAGAAUGUUUUAGGCAAACAUAAAUAGUCCCCUGAUUUAUGAUGGGCUGACUAAGAUUUGGAGCUCUACUUAAAUAAAAAUGGGAUAUAUUUUUUGUAGAAAUCAUAUUUUGAGGUCUGGUAUAUGGCUCAGUGGUAGAGUGUUUGCCUAAAUAUAUGAACCUUGUGUCUGAUUUUUGAUGCUGCAAACACACACACACACACACACACACACACACACACACACAGAGAGAGAGAGAGAGAGAGAGAAGAGAGAGAGGGAGAGAGAGAGAGAGAGAAAGAGAGAGAGAGAGAGAGAGGUCCUACUUUGAAGUUUGGUUUCUUCUAGGGUUGGCUUCUGACACUGGUGUGGUACAGUGACCCGGAGCUCCUGUCUAUCCUGCCAGAGGAGCUCAGUCUGGGUUGCUAAGCUGCACUGUCCACCAGUUAAAUGUGUUAAAUCCGUUUAUAUUUAGGAGAAUUCACAUUUAGGAUGCUACCCCAUAGUAGGCCACAAAGUACCUGUGUAGAUAGAGAUGAGGAGAGGACUUUGUCAGGGUCAAGAGGUGACACAAGAGAGAGAGCAGGGUUGAAAUCCUCUGGGAUUUAAUCUCUCAGGAUCUGAGUUCCUUUAGCAUGAACUGAAGCUAACACCCAUCCCAGGAAAUCACCAAGGAAUUGAGCUGGGCCUUAAAAUGUUAUCUAGGACUGGACAGGAAAGUCCAUUUUCUCAUGAGUUAGGCAGGAGUUGAUCAGAACUCCUCCCCAUUUUAUGAAAAAAAAAACCCUAAAACUCAAAAUAAUCAACAUGGCGCAAGGCCUGCAAAUGUACUGUCUCCCAAAACAGUGUGGGAAGAUACCUCAGCAGUGUGAAUGCAAUUUGGGUGAUUAAUGAUUAACAACAAUUUUAAUUUAUCAGUAGCAAUUCAAAUAAUAUGCCUAUCACACCACUUUACAUUAUUCUAAACCCUCAUUGCAUUUUUAUUUUUCUUUGAUUUUUUUUGAGGCAUUUUGGCAAAUUACAUGAGUACAGGCCCACCUGAUUUAAAAUAGACUCAUCAUGGUCCUAAAAUUACAACAUGUCUUUUCUUUGAUUUCUUUAAUGAGUUUUCGUAGGAGGUUUUCUUCCAGAGAGCCAGUGUAUUAAGCUGCAGUCUCUCUGCCUGAUGUUUAGUAGCAGUUGGGAAGAGUGGGAGGCGUUACUUUAAGAGGGACAGUUUAAUGACACUGGCUGAUGACUGCAUCAUGCAAAUGAGAACCAUUUGGUCAUUCCUUUUGCUAUAAGCAAGGACACAGAGAUGCUGGGUACCGUGCAUUUGUAGGUGUCAGAGUCUGCAGUAAUAACUUGCUAUUUUUAAGUCAAUAUCUAAAGUACAUUGAAAAUUUAGAGAAAGAGAUAGGUAUGGUGAGUCUUCAAGUCUGAAUGAAGGAGUUAUAAAUAGGUCUUUUAUGUCAGAGAGACACUGUUUUAAAUAUCAGGCCCCAUCAGACUUUAGAUUGUCCUGGAAAACUCUGGGCCUCGGCUUAUUGAUCUGUAAAGUGGGGAUAUAAGUAGUUCUUUCCCCCUAAGGGCAUUUCAAAGAAUAAAAUGAAGCAAUCCAUUGAAGAUAAAUCUUUCUGAAAUUAUGCUCCCCGAGAGAUCCACAUUAUUAGGGAUCAUUAUCAAAGUAUCCUUUUGUUCAAGGUUAGUUUUUUGUUUCAAGAUUGAAUGACCCUUGGACAGGAAAGAGAGCAAAGAAUAAAAUCAUUCUUUUAGUUAUGUGGUAGGGUCAUGUCCAAACUGAACGUGCAGUCAGGAGAUGGCGGUGAACGUAUAACCCCAGAAGCUGUUCCUAAUGUGAGAGCAAUGGAAAGGAGCUGGAUGUAGGUCUAUUGGGAAGUGAAAGAAGCCAGGGAGAGCAGGUGUCAAUGCUCUCAGGCUGGCUUGGGGUCAGGCAUAAGCUGUUUGCAUAAUUAUACAGACCACAGCGUGUCAGUCCACUGAGUCAAGGAAGAGCUGUGUGCAGGGAUACUAGCCCGAAUGCCAGACCCCAAAGAAUUUUCUAAGCUUUUGCCUUUUGAAUAUUAUUGUAUCUUAAUAAGCUAAUUAAGUCUAAACAUGUGAACGGGAGUCAGAGUGUGCACUUAUCUUUGACUCCUGUCUUAUUUCUUCACACAAGCACAGGGCUUUCCAUCUCUCUCUCUCUGGAGAUGCGUUUCCGAGCUAGAGUACUUCAGAAUAGAUUGCUCCAACUACCUCCAUUAAUACUCCAUUCCUCCUGUGCAGGUGCAGCCUGAUCUGUACACCUCGGAAUUAAUGAAGAUUCACUCCCAGUCACAGAGGCCACUUGCUAAUAUUCCCCCACCCCUUGCUCUUGCUUUAAGGGUGGCACUGAUCAGUGCUGGCGAGUGGGCACUCUUAAUUAAAUAGAGGCCCUUACUUUUAAUAACAUUCUAUUUUUAAUUCUGAGAUGUUCUUAAUUAUGAAUCAGACCCACUCUUAAAAGAUUCUUAGAUAGGAUGAUAGAAAUGAUUUUUUUGGGGGGGAUUUAUCUGAUAUUAUUUAAACUGAUAAUAAUCUGUUUUUUACAAAUCAGAAGAAAUUGAACAAUAAUUGCCUAGGGGAUCCUCAACAAGGAUCGCAUUAGGUCUAAGCAGAUUGUUGUUUUGUUUUGUUUGUUUCUUUUCAGUGCUUUGCACGUCUUUCUGCCUUUCGGAGUGCUUCACCAGCAGAGAGGCAAUAUCAACGUAGAUCCACGUGGCAAUGUGCUUCAUGACCCAGAUCUAAAGAAUUUUAGCCUUCCCUGAAUAAAGGCUUCGUGAUGCGCCAUUGCGGGAAAGACUUCAGGGCUUUAUAAGCCUAAUUAGAAAUUCAUUAACUUAAUCAUAAAUUAUCCCUGCCACAGGUCAGCUUGUUACCUUUCCCUCUCAGCUUGGAUUUUGACCCAUGGGUUUCCUGUUUAAUGUGGCAGCUGUUACAUCCUCUGUGGAGGAUAGGCCUGAAAUGCUCUCCACCAAGGGGCUACCUUCCUCACUCUGUUUGAAGUGCACCAGGAAACGAUAGGGUUUUCGGGGGACACAGAAAGCUCAAACGCUGCAGACACUGCAGUCUACAGUGUGACACCGGAGACCCUUUAUAGGAACAUGAAGAGAGGCUGCCUCUGUGCCAAGGCCAUUCGCUCCUCAAAAUGUCAGAUCUCAUUUAAAAGGACAGCAUGCAGUUUCCUUCUCCUGAUCUAAAGUUUUAAGAUUCCCCUAGAAUUGAAGCCAAGCCACAGACAAAAAUCAAAAGUGUAAAAAUGUCACACUGAAACUUACCAGGCUAUGGAAAUGGAACAAUACUCAGUGUGCAUUUGGAAGGCUCCCCAGGGCACCAUGCACUUCUCAAGGGCUUGAAUCCCAUGCCACCAAGACAAUUUGCAACUUGUUCUAAGUUUUACAGUUCACAGCCCCUUGUGAAUACACCUGACCUGAUGAAUAUGUGGGAGAGCCUUGUGGGGGGGAAGAAAUACUACAACCUUCAGUGGUAGAUGUUGCGGAGAUAACGGUGCAGUGCCCUGCUGCUUCCAGUAAAAAUGUUCUUUCAAAUCACAAAACGGUUUCAGUUGGAAACGCAACUCCAAGUGGUGAUGGAGUCCUUUAUUAGUGUGGCUGGGCCAUUUUGCACUUCAAUUUGUUUGCAUUUUUAUUGCUAAGAUGUACCCAUCUUAUCUUGUUUCAGUUGCUUGUUUUGCGCUGACAGCAAUUAUCCAUAUGCAAAUUUUUUGAAAAGUCAAAUGUUUCUUAAGAAGUUGUUGAGUAAAUAACUGGAAUCCUUCAAUUUUUGCUUUGCUUUUUCAAAAAUUUCUUUAUUUUUAUUUUAAGUGUAUCAGUGUUCUGCUUCCUUGUGUGUAUGUAUGUAUACCAUAUAUUGCAGUCCCUGGGGAAGCCGGAAGAGGGCGUCGGUCUCCCGGAACUGGAGUUAGAGAAGGUCGUGUGCUGGGAUUGGAAGUGAAGUCUUCUGCAACAGCAACACUUGCUCUCAACCGAUGAGUCCUUGCUCCACUCCGUCGAGGACUUCAAAAUUUCCUUUUGAUGGCUUCAGUUACAGCUCUAAGUGUGCUCAGUUUCUAUCUCUUUAUCCAUCUGGAAAAUAUGGUGACCCCAAACCAAGAGCCUUUUAAGAAAAGUUAUUGCUGCUUACUUAUGAGUGUGGAUAGGGCUGUGCUGAGGUGUUUGUACAGAGGUCAGGGGGCAACACUGUGGAGUCAGUUCUCUCCAUCCACCGGGAGGAUCCUGGGAUCAAAUGCAAGUCUUCAGAUUUGGUGGCAAGUGUCUUUCCACAGGGAACCAUGUCACUAGCCUGCCAAGAGUUCUUAAGUUAAUCAAAAUUUCUUGUUCUUCAAAGAAAGUUCCACAUUCUUUUACUUUUUUUGAUGAGAUAAUGGGCAUUAAAUAGAGGGCUUCAUCUGUGCUAGGCAAACUUACCACAGAGAUAUACCACCAGCUGUUUUAUUUGUUUAAAUUUUUAGGAUCUCACUGAGGUGUCCAGGGAAGCCUUGGCUUUGUCCUUCUCCUGGGUGUGUGGAAUUUUACUCCAGCAGCAGCAUAUCCAGCUAAUGGAUUCUCUAAAAAUACUAUAUCCAUAAACCUUCAACAACAUGGCUGCCUAAUAAGACCUGGGCAAUUCCAGCAACAGCCGACAUUCCAAGUAGAUGGUGGAAAUCUCUUGGAGCCCCAUACCUAGAUGAAAACUACAGGCAAUUAAUAAUUGCUCAGUCUUUUCUGCGGUGAACCUCCUGACUGGUUAUCAGGGUUGAACCACUGGUUACCAGGGACAAAUCUCCUGACUGGUUAUCAAGGAUGUACCUCUUGACUCAUUAUCAGGGAUGAACCUCCAUUGGUUAUUUGGUACUGGUGUGUGUAUGUGUGUGUGUGUGUGUGUGUGUGUGUGUGUGUGUGUGUGUGUAUGAUAUAUGAAAUGUAUAUAGGGGGUUGGGGAUUUAGCUCAGUGGUAGAGCGCUUGCCUAGCAAGUGCAAGGCCCUGGGUUUGGUCCCCAGCUCCGGGAAAAAAAAAAAAAAGAAAUGUAUAUGUACUGAAGGAACCCAGUAGGUUGCUGUAUUCAUUUAUAUAG